UUCAUCUUAAUUAUCUCACGGCCAACCGCUUCUGGAUCUUGAUAAAAAUCAUAGAAGAAGAGUGCGAAAAAAUUGUCACUCCCAGAUGUUUUCUGGGAUCUUUGUGUUCAAUCGGAUGGAUUUGUCGAAGCGGCGAUCUGGAAAAGUUUGAAGAGGAAUCUUGAGGUUGAUGUUUUUUGAAGGAUUUCGUGUAUAAAAAUUGGUGUAUAACGUCACACACACACACACACGCACAAAUUCUUUCUGAAAACAAUUUUAUUGUUAAGAAAUCGGAACUAUUCAGACUGUUGCAACUAUAUAAAUUUUCAACAUGAUCGGUGUCGUAUUACAGAGUAAGAUAUUAAUCGUUCUCAUGCAUCAACUGCAUUAUUUUAUGACAAGCAAACACGGUUUUUUUUUUUUUGUUGUUUUUUCUUUUUUUUACUUUCUUUACUCGGUAAAUGAAAUACGGUGUACAUUUAUAAAAAACAUACAAUGAGGAUUCAUCUAAUUUGAUGAUGUGUACGUAUAUAUCAAUGUUUCAAAAAUGCACAAUACAAAAACGCCGAAGAGAGAAAUGCAUCAGUUAAAAACACACUGGAAUUAAUUAAAUCGACUUUAAAGACUCCUAGAAUGUGUCUAUCUGGUAUUGAAGAUCCUUUUUUGUAUUUUUAACACUCACUAAAGGUACGAAGGUUGGUACGGAGAAAUUUGAGCUCAUUGCAUGUCUUUUUAUUAUUUUUUUUUUUUUUUUGUCUUCAUCUUGCCAUCACUCAGCGAUACGAAGCGAGUGUAUUCGUGGAAGAAUAUGGAUUUACAAGGAAACGCACGAAUAUUACUGGCUUGUAGCAACAAAGCGAGAAAGAACAUACGCGAGUUGUGCUAAGUCUGUAGAUCUUAGAAAAAAAAAAAAACUAAUUUACAAUCGCACACUGUAAACGCUAUUUCCCUGAUUAAAAAAAAAAAAAAAAAAAAAAA